CUGCUCCUUCGGCCAGGGGAGUCCUUGUUCUCCGCGCUUCAGCGCUUCCGCGCUUCCGGGUUUCUGGCUCUGGGUUCCUGGCUCCGCCCGGGAAAGUUGGGGAAACCUGAGCACGCCCAUUUCAUGGAUGGCACUACGGAGGUCAUGGCUCUGAGGAUUGUCCAGGGCACCGCAGUCCACCCGCUAGCUAGGAAACAGAAGACUGUGUGGACCAGGAGCAGGAUAUAGGAUGAGAGCCAUACAGGUUUCCCCAGAAUGGGCUCUGGAAUCGAGGCCCCGGCUACAAGUACCAAGCCAAAGAUCACACGAGUCUCCAGGCGCAGGGGAGAUCUUGAGAUCCUGUUUGGGGUCGUUGUGAAAAAGGACCCUGCUACUGCAAGGCAGGCGGCAGAACCACUGAGCCAAACCCCGGCCCCUGACAGGAUUUUCUCUUCAGAUCUACCAUGCAGACCUCCUCAUCUGUCAAGGACUACUCCCUCCCCAGCCCUGAGGCUGACCGUGGAUCUCUCAGAAUAAAGGCCAAAGUCCUGCAGUGCCAUCAGACCCACGUGUCUUAGCUCCUUCCUCCCCUCCCC
rnacentral:lncRNA from 1 species